rnacentral:lncRNA from 1 species
CGGCAAACAGUUGACAUCAAAAUUGGAAUCAGCCUGAGGACCUCAACAGAUGCACCUGCCCAAUCUUAAACUUUCCAGCAAUCUGAAUUGUGAGCCAAAUAAUUUUUUUAUAAAUUAUCCAGCUUCAAGUAUUAUACCAACAAAAAAAAGGAAAUGCAAUGAGUCAAUAUACUUACUGAGAUUGCAGAAGAGACUGAACACUGCGCUAGGCUCUGAAGAGAAAGAUGAAAAAGAAGAAAGUGCUCCUGAGUAUAUGACUACUUGUACUUGCUAGCACUGAGGCAAGUACAAACUCUAGGCAUCAGGCUUUUGGUCUCACUCUUAGCGAAUUUGAACACUGGCUUUUUUGUUGGGCUUCCAUUCUUCUCUCAGCGCAAGAAUACCAACGUUUAUGACCCAGGAAGCACCAACUUAUACUUCACAGAGCUAAGAAACAGCAUUUCGCCAUGUCACGCAGGCUGGUCUUCAACUCCUGGACUCAAGCUAUCCACGGGCCUCGGCCUCCCAAAGUGCUAGGAUUACAGGCAUGAGCCACUAUGUCCGGCUUGGAGUUUUUAGUCUCAUCAAACCAACUCACCCAAAUGUCCCUUGGUGACAAAAAGUUUUCUGAAAGAUUAAGUAAUCUUUGUUUCCCAAGCCUGACAAAAUAAAAAGUUUUCUGUCUCUCUCUU